rnacentral:rRNA from 1 species
AUUGAACGCUGGCGGCAGGCCUAACACAUGCAAGUCGAGCGGAUGAAGGGAGCUUGCUCCUGGAUUCAGCGGCGGACGGGUGAGUAAUGCCUAGGAAUCUGCCUGGUAGUGGGGGAUAACGUCCGGAAACGGGCGCUAAUACCGCAUACGUCCUGAGGGAGAAAGUGGGGGAUCUUCGGACCUCACGCUAUCAGAUGAGCCUAGGUCGGAUUAGCUAGUUGGUGGGGUAAAGGCCUACCAAGGCGACGAUCCGUAACUGGUCUGAGAGGAGGAUCAGUCACACUGGAACUGAGACACGGUCCAGACUCCUACGGGAGGCAGCAGUGGGGAAUAUUGGACAAUGGGCGAAAGCCUGAUCCAGCCAGGCCGCGUGUGUGAAGAAGGUCUUCGGAUUGUAAAGCACUUUAAGUUGGGAGGAAGGGCAGUAAGUUAAUACCUUGCUGUUUUGACGUUACCAACAGAAUAAGCACCGGCUAACUUCGUG